rnacentral:rRNA from 1 species
UGGGGAAUUUUGGACAAUGGGGGAAACCCUGAUCCAGCCAUCCCGCGUGUGCGAUGAAGGCCUUCGGGUUGUAAAGCACUUUUGGCAGGAAAGAAACGUCAUGGGUUAAUACCCCGUGAAACUGACGGUACCUGCAGAAUAAGCACCGGCUAACUACGUGCUAGCAGCCGCGGUAAUACGUAGGGUGCAAGCGUUAAUCGGAAUUACUGGGCGUAAAGCGUGCGCAGGCGGUUCGGAAAGAAAGAUGUGAAAUCCCAGAGCUCAACUUUGGAACUGCAUUUUUAACUACCGGGCUAGAGUGUGUCAGAGGGAGGUGGAAUUCCGCGUGUAGCAGUGAAAUGCGUAGAUAUGCGGAGGAACACCGAUGGCGAAGGCAGCCUCCUGGGAUAACACUGACGCUCAUGCACGAAAGCGUGGGGAGCAAACAGG